UCACUGCUUGCUUGCUUGCUUCACUUCGCUCUUGAUGAUGCAUGAAACCCAUUGUCAAUGGAGAGAGAGAGAUAGAUACUCGUGGGUAGAGAAAGACAAAAAGAAACAUGUAUUCUUCCUCCUAAAGAUCUGAGUCCAUUUGGUCAUUAAAAAACCUAACACCUUUUUUGAACUUUGAUAGUUUUCUCCUUGUUACUAAUAUGCAAGUGCGGUUCUGGACCUAUUUCUCCCUAUUGUGAUCAUAUUUUGCAUCUUACUCUGGAAUUUCUCAGUUAUGAUCCCAAUUUCACUGAUAAUAUGGAAGAAGUUACUGAUGAUGAAAUUCAGGAGGAAGAGGAGGAUGAUGAGAGUGCUGAUGAAUACACAGACGAUGAAGAUGUCAGUUGGAAGGUUAGAAGAGCUGCUGGCCUGCUGCUAAAUGCUUGGCAGCACUGAUCGUUUCUCGUCUUGAAAUGAUUUCCAAGCUAUAUGAGGAGGCUUGCCCAAAGUUAAUUGACAGGUUUAAAGAAAGGGAAGAAAAUGUCAAAUCCCAGAUGGUUGUUGAACCAAGAGGUACCCAAAAUUGUUAGAUCUGUAAAUAAGCAGCUACGGGAGAAAUUUGUGAAAACAAAGGUUGGUGCAUUUUCAGUUUGAAAGAACUGGUGAUUGUGCUGCCUGAUUGCCUUGCAGAGCCUAUUGGAUCACUCAUACCUGGGAUUGAAAAGGCAUUAUGUUCAUCUACCUCAAACUUAAAGACUGAAGCUCUUAUAUUCACAAGAUUAGUAUUUGCUUCACAUAGUCCUCCUAUUUUCCAUCCACACAUUAAGAUCAGGGACUCAUCAUAUGGCCUCCUAAACUCAAAUUAGACCCUACAGAUUCUGCAGGUGCACAGCUUCAAUUAGACCCUCCUUAUACCUCCACGUUCCAUGAAUCAACAUAUAUUAAAUUGCUCUUCAUCAAACUCCCAGAGCAACCAGAACAGUCCUCAGGUUUCUAGCUCCAGACAUCCACCUCAACCAAAACUUUUUCUUUGUAGCUCUACUUAAGAUGUCAUCUCCCAAGGAGGGAUCCAUCCUAAGGCAGCAUUAAACUCCACUUUAAAAGCUUCACUUAGAUGCUGCAAAGAUGUCUUUCAACACCUACCUCUGACCUCGUACAAUCUUCAUCAGAAAUGAAUCUCAUAUUUUUGCUUCUGCUUCUGUUACUCAGUAGGUCAGAGGAUUGAGUUGAUGACAGAUUUGGUUAGUAUUGGUUUGCACUAAGGCAAUGUCGCAUUAUGGAUUAGUUAGUGGUUUGUAUAGGCAUUAUGCCCUUGUGGGGUGACCACUUUUGGGUCACAUGUAAAACAUUGUUUUGGUGGCAAUGAAUAACUGCUUAAAAAAACAUUUCUUUAUUAAA